rnacentral:rRNA from 1 species
UUGCGAAGGCAGCUUUCUGGAUCAUUACUGACACUGAGGAACGAAAGCAUGGGUAGCGAAGAGGAUUAGAUACCCUCGUAGUCCAUGCCGUAAACGAUGUGUGUUAGACGUUGGAAAUUUAUUUUCAGUGUCGCAGGGAAACCGAUAAACACACCGCCUGGGGAGUACGACCGCAAGGUUAAAACUCAAAUGAAUUGACGGGGACCCGCACAAGUAGUGGAGCAUGUGGUUUAAUUCGAAGAUACGCGCAGAACCUUACCAACACUUGACAUGUUCGUCGCGACUCUAAGAGAUUAGAGUUUUCGGUUCGGCCGGACGAAACACAGGUGCUGCAUGGCUGUCGUCAGCUCGUGUCGUGAGAUGUUGGGUUAAGUCCCGCAACGAGCGCAACCCUCACUUUUAGUUGCCAUCAUUAAGUUGGGCACUCUGAAAGAACUGCCAGUGAUAAGCUGGAGGAAGGUGGGGAUGACGUCAAGUCCUCAUGGCCCUUACGUGUUGGGCUACACACGUGCUACAAUGGCAUCUACAACAGGAAGCAAAACGGCAACGUCUAGCAAAUCCCGAAAAGAUGCCUCAGUUCGGAUUGCACUCUGCAACUCGAGUGCAUGAAGCUGGAAUUACUAGUAAUCGUGGAUCAGCGUGCCACGGUGAAUGCGAUCCCGGGUCUUGUACACACCGCCCGUCACACCAUGGGAGUUGGUUCUACCUUAAGGCAAGGUUUCAAACCCUUGACCACGGUAUAGUCAGCGACUGGGGUGAAGUCGUAACAAGGUAGCCGUA